rnacentral:tRNA from 1 species
UUUAGGGUGGCAGAGCCCGGUUACUGCAAAAGAUCUAAACUCUUUCCACGAAGGUUCAAGUCCCUCUCCUAAAU